rnacentral:rRNA from 1 species
GUGGCGAACGGGUGAGUAACACGUGAGCAAUCUGCCCUUGACUCUGGGAUAACUGCGGGAAACUGUAGCUAAUACCGGAUACUUUCCUCGCUGGGCAUCCAGCGGGGAAGAAAGAAUUUCGGUCAAGGAUGAGCUCGCGGCCUAUCAGCUAGUUGGUGAGGUAAAGGCUCACCAAGGCGACGACGGGUAGCCGGCCUGAGAGGGUGACCGGCCACACUGGAACUGAGACACGGUCCAGACUCCUACGGGAGGCAGCAGUGGGGAAUAUUGCACAAUGGGCGAAAGCCUGAUGCAGCAACGCCGCGCGAGGGAUGAAGGCCUUCGGGUUGUAAACCUCUUUUAGCAGGGAAGAAGCGAAAGUGACGGUACCUGCAGAAAAAGCACCGGCUAACUACGUGCCAGCAGCCGCGGUAAUACGUAGGGUGCAAGCGUUGUCCGGAAUUAUUGGGCGUAAAGAGCUCGUAGGCGGUUUGUCACGUCUGCUGUGAAAAUCUGAGGCUCAACCUCGGACUUGCAGUGGGUUCGGGCAGACUAGAGUGCGGUAGGGGAGGAGGGAAUUCCUGGUGUAGCGGUGGAAUGCGCAGAUAUCAGGAGGAACACCAAUGGCGAAGGCACUUCUCUGGGCCGUAACUGACGCUGAGGAGCGAAAGCGUGGGGAGCGAACAGGAUUAGAUACCCUGGUAGUCCAC